UACAGAGGUCCCGAGCGUUAUUCGGAAUUACUGGGCGUAAAGCGCGCGUAGGCGGCAUUGCAAGUCGGGUGUGAAAUCCCCAGGCUUAACCUGGGAACUGCAUUCGAGACUGCAUUGCUAGAGUAUGGGAGAGGGAAGUGGAAUUUCCGGUGUAGCGGUGAAAUGCGUAGAUAUCGGAAGGAACAUCAGUGGCGAAAGCGACUUCCUGGACCAAUACUGACGCUCAUGUGCGAAAGCGUGGGGAGCAAACAGG
rnacentral:rRNA from 1 species